GGCGGGGGCUGGCUGUCAGCGGGACCGUAGGAGUAAAUUGAGGCUCUGAGCUGAUAUCCUAUCACAAGCAGAGGAAAGAAAGAUGAGUGCGACAUAAUGACUUCCUUCGAGGAGAGAUUGUGCAACAUUAUCAACAUCUGAGCGAUGAAUACACCUCCCUCCUCUCUAUAGAGCCGCCAGACAAAGAGUGGACUGAGAGGAUUCAUCACAUCACACUGUUUAAAGAAAGGAGAGUUCAGAAAACUGCCAACAAUGUCUCCCUGCAUGGUAACACCAAGUACUGUCACAUGCAGCAUUUCCUGUGGAGAGGCAGCUAGAGAGUGCAACAUACACUGAAAGGUGAGG